UACGUAGGGUGCAAGCGUUGUCCGGAUUUAUUGGGCGUAAAGAGCUCGUAGGUGGCCUGCCGCGUCGGAUGUGAAAACCCGGGGCUCAACCCCGGGCCUGCAUUCGAUACGGGCAGGCUAGAGGAUGGCAGGGGAAACUGGAAUUCCUGGUGUAGCGGUGAAAUGCGCAGAUAUCAGGAGGAACACCGGUGGCGAAGGCGGGUUUCUGGGCCAUUCCUGACACUGAGGAGCGAAAGCGUGGGGAGCAAACAGG
rnacentral:rRNA from 1 species